rnacentral:lncRNA from 1 species
CUCUGCGUCUGGAGAACACAGGACGUCCACAGGAAAGUUCUCCCUCCUGCACUCCCGGCUGGCUCUGAAAAUUAUGAACUCUCUUUUCCUUAAAAUAAAGGCUCUAAAAUUGUGUGAUUCCACCUCCCUGAGGCUAAGCGAAAGAGCCGCGUCUGCCCCUGUCCUUCCCGGGGGCUGGCAGGGAGUGGGUGCCCGGCGGUGACUCAGCCCUGCAGCCUCCCAGCCCUUCCCCGUAUGCGGGCAGGUGAUGCGGACGCCUCCGACCCUCGUGGGGUUUGUGGAGAGCGUUGAUCAGCGCUGCCGUCAGAACAGGACCUGUGCGAGGCCUCGCAGAUGCCGGGAGCCGGGCGGUGCUCUCGGUGCUUCUCAUCAAAUCCACUGGCUCUUCGAGAGGAAGCACAUGUCAC